GUAGUUUGCUUCAUCCUCCACCAUUCUAGCAUUUAGAAUCAUCCAAGAAACACAUUGUCUAAUAAUUAACAACAACAAAAAAAAAGUAUAGUUAUCUAGUAAAACUCUUUUUCACAUGUUACCCACUUCUCUUUUUGUCUAGUAUUUCUAUUUACUGGUUUGUUGUGUUAUUAACAAUACACUAGGCACUUUAGUUGAAGGAGCUCAAUAGAAGCACAUUCUGUUGUGAUUGCAGUGCAGUGUGGGCAGCACAAGUGCUCUUAUCCUGUUCCCUUUAGUCAUCAUCUCCAUGGUGAGGCACAUCUCAGGAAAAAAAAGUCAUCAGAAAGAGUAAAUACUUCAAAACUGAAAGAGCCCUUUUACAAUCUCUUUUUCUUGCAAAUUUACUAGUUUGUCUUAGCAGUUGUUGACCCUGCUUCACCAGAUUGCUACCAAAAAAACUAGUUUCUUAAAUAGGCAUAUUUAUUCUCUAUUCCUACAGAAAGACAGAGAAAAGGUUCAGAGCACAAGGACAGUUAGAGCAAUCCAUUAGCAGAUCGCUAAUAGAGCAGCUGUAGGAUUCUGGAGAACUCACAGAGGAAGGAGUUCUAAUAUACCUAGAGAGAGAGUAAUCAUUGCUAGCAUUCCUAUUCGUCUUAAUGGCAGUUGCACUACUGGUGCGUGCAGCCCAGAAGUGUGCAACCUGGAUGUUGCCAUCUUUGCUUUAUAGAUUCACACUUUUGAUGCUCUGCUACUUUUGGCCAUUCAUGAAGCAUUUACCAGCAGGAGCCAAACUCUGAUCCACUGGAUGAGCCAUGAUUUAGGAUGAUUUAAGACAAACAACAUUAAGAACUGACCGCUUCAAGGAGGCCUGGAGCAAAUUGAACCGCUGAUUGAAUCCAAAGCCAAAGGACAUUAAAAGAAUCAAGACCCACUUGAGUUUGAUGGAGGGCAAAAGAGACAGAUGCAGCUGUACGUCCACGAGCUAAAGCACAUCAUCCUCAACAACAGGCAUCAGACUCUUCAGGCUAUGAGAGCGAGCUGUUGCUGGAAUUGCAUCAGCCAAUCGCAGAUGCUACAUCACUUCCAGGUCUGGCUUUCUGCUCAGUAA
ensembl:lncRNA